GACGAACGCUGGCGGCGUGCUUAACACAUGCAAGUCGUACGGUAAGGCCCUUUCGGGGGUACACGAGUGGCGAACGGGUGAGUAACACGUGAGUAACCUGCCCACAACUUUGGGAUAACGCUAGUAAACUGGUGCUAAUACUGGAUAUGUUCUCCUGCUGCAUGGUGGGGGUUGGAAAGCUCCGGCGGUUGUGGAUGGACUCGCGGCCUAUCAGCUUGUUGGUGGGGUAGUGGCCUACCAAGGCGGCGACGGGUAGCCGGCCUGAGAGGGUGACCGGCCACAUUGGGACUGAGAUACGGCCCAGACUCCGACGGGAGGCAGCAGUGGGGAAUUUUGCACAAUGGGCGCAAGCCUGAUGCAGCAACGCCGCGUGCGGGAUGACGGCCUUCGGGUUGUAAACCGAUUUCAGCAGGGACGAAGCUUUUUGUGACGGUACCUGCAGAAGAAGCACCGGCUAACUACGUG
rnacentral:rRNA from 1 species